UUUCAAUGAAGAUAUCUGUCCAGUUCUGCUACUGAUUGCAAGUGGUGACAAUGUAGACUCUGAGAAA